rnacentral:rRNA from 1 species
AUACGGAGGGUGCAAGCGUUAAUCGGAAUUACUGGGCGUAAAGAGUACGUAGGUAGUUUGUUAAGUCAGAUGUGAAAGCCCCGGGCUCAACCUGGGAACUGCAUUUGAAACUGGCAAACUAGAGUAUGGUAGAGGGGGGUAGAAUUUCUAGUGUAGCGGUGAAAUGCGUAGAUAUUAGAAGGAAUACCAGUGGCGAAGGCGGCCCCCUGGACCAAUACUGACACUGAGGUACGAAAGCGUGGGUAGCGAACAGGAUUAGAAACCCUAGUAGUCC